CGGGUGAGUAACACGUAGAGAACCUACCUUACACAGGGGGACGAACGGCUGGAAACGGCUGCUAAUACCGCAUAAGCACCCAGUUUCGCAUGAAACAGAGUGAAAAGAGUAAAUCGGUGUAAGAUGGCUCUGCGUCUGAUUAGCUAGUUGGUGGGGUAAAGGCUCACCAAGGCGACGAUCAGUAGCCGGCCUGAGAGGGCGACCGGCCACAUUGGGACUGAGACACGGCCCAGACUCCUACGGGAGGCAGCAG
rnacentral:rRNA from 1 species